rnacentral:rRNA from 1 species
GAUGAACGCUGGCGGCGUGCUUAACACAUGCAAGUCGAACGGAAAGGCCCUGCUUUUGUGGGGUGCUCGAGUGGCGAACGGGUGAGUAACACGCGAGUAACCUCCCCUUGUCUUUGGGAUAACUUCAGGAAACUGGGGCUAAUACCGGAUAGGAGCUCCUGCUCCAUGUGGGGGGUUGGAAAGUUUCGGCGGUUGGGGAUGGACUCGCGGCUUACCGGCUUGUUGGUGGGGUAGUGGCUUACCAAGGUUGUGACGGGUAGGCGGCCUGGGAGGGUGACCGGGCACAAUAGGACUGAGGGACGGACCAGACGGCUACGGGAGGCAGCGGGGGGGAAUAUUGCACAGUGGGCGGAAGCCUGAUGCAACAACGCCGGGUGCGGGAUGACGGGCUUCGGGUUAAAAACCGAUUUCGCCUGUGACGAAGCGUGAGUGACGGUAAUGAGUAAAGAAGCACCGGCUAACUACGUG